AUUGAACGCUGGUGGCAGGCCUAACACAUGCAAGUCGAGCGGCAGCGGAAGGAAGCUUGCUUCCUUGCCGGCGAGCGGCGGACGGGUGAGUAAGGUAUGGGGAUCUGGCCGAAGGCGGGGGAUAACCACUGGAAACGGUGGCUAAUACCGCAUAAUCUCUAAGGAGCAAAGUGGGGGACCGUUCAGGCCUCACACCUUCGGAUGAACCCAUAUGAGAUUAGCUAGUAGGUGGGGUAAUGGCUCACCUAGGCGACGAUCUCUAGCUGGUCUGAGAGGAUGAUCAGCCACACUGGGACUGAGACACGGCCCAGACUCCUACGGGAGGCAGCAGUGGGGAAUAUUGCACAAUGGGCGCAAGCCUGAUGCAGCCAUGCCGCGUGUAUGAAGAAGGCCUUCGGGUUGUAAAGUACUUUCAGUCGUGAGGAAGGUGUUAAGGCUAAUAACCUUAGCAAUUGACGUUAGCGACAGAAGAAGCACCGGCUAACUCCGUGCCAGCAGCCGCCGUAA
rnacentral:rRNA from 1 species